UCCUACGGGAGGCAGCAGUGAGGAAUAUUGGUCAAUGGACGGAAGUCUGAACCAGCCAUGCCGCGUGCAGGAAGACGGCUCUAUGAGUUGUAAACUGCUUUUGUACGAGGGUAAACGCAGAUACGUGUAUCUGCCUGAAAGUAUCGUACGAAUAAGGAUCGGCUAACUCCGUGCCAGCAGCCGCGGUAAUACGGAGGAUCCAAGCGUUAUCCGGAUUUAUUGGGUUUAAAGGGUGCGUAGGCGGUUUAGUAAGUCAGCGGUGAAAUUUUGGUGCUUAACACCAAACGUGCCGUUGAUACUGCUGGGCUAGAGAGUAGUUGCGGUAGGCGGAAUGUAUGGUGUAGCGGUGAAAUGCUUAGAGAUCAUACAGAACACCGAUUGCGAAGGCAGCUUACCAAACUAUAUCUGACGUUGAGGCACGAAAGCGUGGGGAGCAAACAGGAUUAGAUACCCUGGUAGUCC
rnacentral:rRNA from 1 species